GUAAAACGUGACUAGAGAACAGUUGCACUAAAGAGGUUAGACCCACAGCACAGUUAUAAAACACACAUACACCUGGUAAUAUCAACUAGACCUCAAUCAAAAACUACCUUGACCUCACGAAAGCUAAGACACAAACUAGGAUUAGAUACCCUACUAUGCUUAGCCAUAAACCUAGAUAAUACCACAACAUAUAAUCCGCCAGAGAAUUACCAGCGAAAAGCUAAAAACUCAAAGGACUUGACGGUGUUCCAAAUCAACCUAGAGGAGCCUGUCCUAUAAUCGAUAACCCCCGAUACACCCCACCUCAUCUUGCAACCAGCCUAUAUACCGCCGUCGCCAGCUUACCUUAUGACAGCAUCCCAGCAGUAAGCAAAAUAGUGCCCCCCACUAACACGUCAGGUCAAGGUGUAGCUAAUGAUGAGGCAGAGAUGGGCUACAUUUUCUACAUACAGAAAAACACCACAAGCAGCAUGAAAAUUGCGCUCGAAGUCGGAUUUAGCAGUAAACCAGACAAGACAAGUCUAAUUGAAGCCUGCCCUGGAACG
rnacentral:rRNA from 1 species